UGUUUGGAUUACAGGUGUGAGCUACCGCACCCGGCAACAAGGACAUUUUUAUACAAGCUGAUAGGGCUGUGAAUUCCUGGUUGUAUGAGACGUGAAUUCCUGGUUGCUCCACUCCAUCUUUCCGGAGUGGAGACCCCAAAUUCUGUUGGGGAAAGUGUACAACUACUGCUCUUAACUGCUUCCUGCCGACAAGGGGUGCUGUUUUGGGAAAGUGGCAGUUAAGGCUCCUCCUGAGAAUCCUCCAUCUCAGGAAGGCCCCAGUAUUGCCAGGCUGGGAGAAACCCAAGCCAUGAGGAUAGACCAUGAAUAGGAGUUCUGGUUGACAAUCCCAGUUCACUCCCAGCUUCAAAUACACAAGGCCAAGUGCCAGAUACGGGCAUAAAAAGCAAUUUUGGAAGUGGACACUCCAGUCCCAGCUGUCCUAGCCCUCAGCUAUUUGAGUUGCAUCCAGACAUGUAAAUCUUCCCAGCUGAGGCCUCAUCAUUGAGGUGCAGAAAAGGGGCAUGCCCAUUGUGCCUGUUUCUAAAUUCCUGACCCACAGAACCUCUAAUCAGCAAUACAACUGGGAUUUGAUAUCAGAUUCAUGCGAUUCCGAAGACCCUGACCACCAAAUGCAAAAGGUACAUGGCAAUAGCUGAUUGCAAUGAGAGAAAAACAACUAAUAAGGCAACAAGCAGGAUACCAAGAUAUUUUCCAAAGUGAAUAGCACUGAUUCUAUGAGGAAUGAACAUUGCCAAACAAGUGUUUUGUUUUGCUUUUCAACUCCUCUAAAAAAAUUCACAUAUAUGCAUGCCACUUUCCUGAAAAAUAUCUGCCUCAUAAUUGCCAUAAGAAACUGUAUGGACAACUCUUAAACAUUCUGAAAGUAGUCAGGGAUGGGGGAAAGCAUUUGCUAUUUUAGUCUGUUCCUGGUCUUAUAACAAAUACCACAGACUGGGUAAUUUAUGAUUACAGAGAUGCAUUUCUGAAAGUUCCAGGAGUUGGGAAGCUCAAGAUUAUGGCACCAACAUAUUCAUUGUCUGAUGAGGGCCUGUUUCAUAGAUGUCAUUUUGCAUGACUUAAUCACAGGGUAGGAAAAGCAAAGGGACAAAAUGGACAAAUGCCAUGUUGUCACAUGGCAGAAGAAAUGGAAGAGCCAGGAAGCUCUCAGAGAAGCUUCCUCUAUUAGGAUAUUAAUCUCAUUCAUGAGUGCACAGCCAUCAUAACUUAAUUGCCUCCAGAGGCCCCACUUCCUCAUCACUUAGAGGAUUAAACUUAAACAUGAAUUUGGAGGAAAUAUAUUCAAACUCUAGCACUAGUUUAAAUGUAGCUAAAAAGGUUUCUUCAUUCUGUAACUGUCAAUAUGCUAAUAUUUUUGUAAAUAUCCAAGAGGAAGCUAAAGCAUAUAAUAUUCCAAAAUUUAUUUCUGUUUGUGGAUAUUAUGUUUUCCUCUCAUUCUAUCUCAAGAAAUUAGUGUCCUCAAGAAACACUAUAUAGAAUAAUUGUCUUUCAAGUUCAUCAACUACUGGUUCUUGAUUCUUCAGUAGCUAAUCCUGGGUAGUAAUACUUAACAGAUUAUAAAAACUUGGGUGCUGCUAUAUAAAUGUGCUGAAACUCCCAGGGAAUCAAACAUAAGGACUUAAAGAGAGAUGUAACUAGGGAUCAUAAUCAUGAAUUUCAGCUGCUUCUCUAUCUUUGUCAGUGAGCAAAUGACCAUACAAAAUAAGG
rnacentral:lncRNA from 1 species